rnacentral:precursor_RNA from 1 species
AGUUCACAGUUCAUAGGAGGAUGAAUGUGUAUCCUCCUUUUUUCUGUGAACAGA